rnacentral:lncRNA from 11 species
GAGAAGAUGAGAACAGUCAGGAGUUGAGAAGGAGGGAGAAAAAAAGGAGAGAUUUGAAUUCUAGAAUCUGAAAAGAAAAGAAUCAAGUGCUUACACAGGAGAAGAUCACAGUGUUUCAAACCACAAAAGAAAGCUGUACUGCAGCUUGAGGAAAAUUGAGGAGAAUGAAAUGAACAUUUGUAGGACUUCCUGAAAUAGAUAGGUAUCA